AGUUUGAUCCUGGCUCAGGAUGAACGCUAGCUACAGGCUUAACACAUGCAAGUCGAGGGGCAGCAUGAACUUAGCUUGCUAAGUUUGAUGGCGACCGGCGCACGGGUGAGUAACACGUAUCCAACCUUCCGUUUACUCAGGGAUAGCCUUUCGAAAGAAAGAUUAAUACCUGAUAGUAUGGUGAGAUUGCAUGAUAGCACCAUUAAAGAUUUAUUGGUAAACGAUGGGGAUGCGUUCCAUUAGGUAGUAGGCGGGGUAACGGCCCACCUAGCCGACGAUGGAUAGGGGUUCUGAGAGGAAGGUCCCCCACAUUGGAACUGAGACACGGUCCAAACUCCUACGGGAGGCAGCAGUGAGGAAUAUUGGUCAAUGGGCGAGAGCCUGAACCAGCCAAGUAGCGUGAAGGAUGAAGGUCCUACGGAUUGUAAACUUCUUUUAUACGGGAAUAAAGUAUCCUACGUGUAGGAUUUUGUAUGUACCGUAUGAAUAAGCAUCGGCUAACUCCGUGCCAGCAGCCGCGGUAAUACGGAGGAUGCGAGCGUUAUCCGGAUUUAUUGGGUUUAAAGGGAGCGCAGACGGGAGAUUAAGUCAGUUGUGAAAGUUUGCGGCUCAACCGUAAAAUUGCAGUUGAUACUGGUUUCCUUGAGUGCAGUUGAGGCAGGCGGAAUUCGUGGUGUAGCGGUGAAAUGCUUAGAUAUCACGAAGAACCCCGAUUGCGAAGGCAGCUUGCUAAACUGUAACUGACGUUCAUGCUCGAAAGUGUGGGUAUCAAACAGGAUUAGAUACCCUGGUAGUCCACACGGUAAACGAUGGAUACUCGCUGUUGGCGAUAUACUGUCAGCGGCCAAGCGAAAGCAUUAAGUAUCCCACCUGGGGAGUACGCCGGCAACGGUGAAACUCAAAGGAAUUGACGGGGGCCCGCACAAGCGGAGGAACAUGUGGUUUAAUUCGAUGAUACGCGAGGAACCUUACCCGGGCUUGAAUUGCAGACGAAUUACGAGGAAACUUGUAAGCCGCAAGGCGUCUGUGAAGGUGCUGCAUGGUUGUCGUCAGCUCGUGCCGUGAGGUGUCGGCUUAAGUGCCAUAACGAGCGCAACCCUCGUGGUCAGUUACUAACAGGUUAAGCUGAGGACUCUGGCCAGACUGCCAUSGUAAGAUGUGAGGAAGGUGGA
rnacentral:rRNA from 1 species